rnacentral:rRNA from 1 species
CGGCGGGUGCUAUAAUGCAGUCGACGCGUUGGCCCAACUGAUUGAACGUGCUUGCACGGACUUGACGUUGGUUUGCCAGCGAGUGGCGGACGGGUGAGUAACACGUAGGUAACCUGCCCCAAAGCGGGGGGUAACAUUUGGAAACAGAUGCUAAUACCGCAUAACAAUUUGAAUCGCAUGAUUCAAACUUAAAAGAUGGCUUCGGCUAUCACUUUGGGAUGGACCUGCGGCGCAUUAGCUUGUUGGUUGGGUAACGGCCUACCAAGGCUGUGAUGCGUAGCCGAGUUGAGAGACUGAUCGGCCACAAUGGAACUGAGACACGGUCCAUACUCCUACGGGAGGCAGCAGUAGGGAAUCUUCCACAAUGGGCGCAAGCCUGAUGGAGCAACACCGCGUGAGUGAAGAAGGGUUUCGGCUCGUAAAGCUCUGUUGUUAGAGAAGAACGUGCGUGAGAGUAACUGUUCACGCAGUGACGGUAUCUAACCAGAAAGUCACGGCUAACUACGUGCCAGCAGCCGCGGUAAUACGUAGGUGGCAAGCGUUAUCCGGAUUUAUUGGGCGUAAAGCGAGCGCAGGCGGUUUGAUAAGUCUGAUGUGAAAGCCUUUGGCUUAACCAAAGAAGUGCAUCGGAAACUGUCAGACUUGAGUGCAGAAGAGGACAGUGGAACUCCAUGUGUAGCGGUGGAAUGCGUAGAUAUAUGGAAGAACACCAGUGGCGAAGGCGGCUGUCUGGUCUGCAACUGACGCUGAGGCUCGAAAGCAUGGGUAGCGAACAGGAUUAGAUACCCUGGUAGUCCAUGCCGUAAACGAUGAGUGCUAGGUGUUGGAGGGUUUCCGCCCUUCAGUGCCGCAGCUAACGCAUUAAGCACUCCGCCUGGGGAGUACGACCGCAAGGGUUGAAACUCAAAGGAAUUGACGGGGGCCCGCACAAGCGGUGGA